GCAAGUCGAGGGAGAAUUAAUAUUCGGAUUAAGGAAACCGGCGCACGGGUGCGUAACGCGUAUGCAACUUGCCCUUAUCAGGAGGAUAGCCCGGGGAAACUCGGAUUAAUACUCCAUAAGAUAUUGAUUGGCAUCGAUUAAAAUUGAAAGAUUUAUUGGAUAAGGAUAGGCAUGCGUCAGAUUAGUUAGUUGGUAGUGUAACGGACUACCAAGGCGAUGAUCUGUAGGGGGCCUGAGAGGGUGAAGGCCCACACUGGUACUGAGACACGGACCAGACUCCUACGGGAGGCAGCAGUGAGGAAUAUUGGACAAUGGAGGGAACUCUGAUUCAGCCAUCCCGCGUGCAGGAAGACGGCCCUAUGCCGUUGUAAACUGCAAUUGUAUGGGGAUAUAUCUACCUACGUGUAGGUAGUUGUUGGUACCAUACGAAUAAGCAUCGGCUAACUCCGUGCCAGCAGCCGCGGUUUUACGGAGGAUGCAAGCGUUAUCCGGAUUCAUUGGGUAUAAAGGGUCCGUAGGCGGGCUGAUAAGUCAGUGGUGAAAUUUUGUCGCUCAACGAUAAUUACUGCCAUUGAUACUGUUAGUCUUGAGUGAUAUUGAAGUAGCUGGAAUGUGUAGUGUAGCGGUGAAAUGCAUAGAUAUUACACAGAACACCGAUUGCGAAGGCAGGUUACUAAGUAUUAACUGACGCUGAAGGACGAAAGCGUGGGGAGCGAUCAGGAUUAGAUACCCUGGUAGUCCACGCAGUAAACGAUGCUAACUCGUUUUCGGGGAGUGAUCUUCGGAGACCAAGCGAAAGUGAUAAGUUAGGCACCUGGGGAGUACGUUCGCAAGAAUGAAACUCAAAGGAAUUGACGGGGGCCCGCACAAGCGGUGGAGCAUGUGGUUUAAUUCGAUGAUACGCGAGGAACCUUACCAAGGCUUAAAUGCAUAAUGACAGGAGUGGAAACACUUAAUUCUUCGGACAGAAUGCAAGGUGCUGCAUGGCUGUCGUCAGCUCGUGCCGUGAGGUGUUAGGUUAAGUCCUGCAACGAGCGCAACCCCUAUCAUUAGUUGCCAGC
rnacentral:rRNA from 1 species